UCUCGUUAGCGUAAAAGUUAAAUCAAAUUUGUAUGGAGAUGAAAAGUUUGCCUAUGUUUGCCGCUAGGGGCACUGUUCCAAGAGCAUACAAAUUUCAGGUAGGUAACUUUUACGCUAUCGA
rnacentral:pre_miRNA from 9 species